rnacentral:rRNA from 1 species
UACGUAGGGUGCGAGCGUUGAAUCGGAAUUACUGGGCGUAAAGCGUGCGCAGGCGGUUCGUUGUGUCGGUGGUGAAAUCCCCGGGCUUAACCUGGGAAUGGCCAUGGAAACUGGCGAACUGGAGUGGCGGCAGAGGGGGUGGAAUUCCGCGUGUAGCAGUGAAAUGCGUAGAGAUGCGGAGGAACACCGAUGGCGAAGGCAGCCCCCUGGGCUAGCACUGACGCUCAGGCACGAAAGCGUGGGGAGCAAACAGG